rnacentral:rRNA from 1 species
GAUGAACGCUGGCGGCGUGCUUAACACAUGCAAGUCGAACGGAAAGGCCCAAGCUUGCUUGGGUACUCGAGUGGCGAACGGGUGAGUAACACGCGGGUGAUCUGCCCUGCACUUCGGGAUAAGCCUGGGAAACUGGGUCUAAUACCGGAUAGGACCACAUUUUGGAUGGUGUGGUGGAAAGUUUUUCGGUGUGGGAUGAGCUCGCGGCCUAUCAGCUUGUUGGUGGGGUAAUGGCCUACCAAGGCGUCGACGGGUAGCCGGCCUGAGAGGGUGUACGGCCACAUUGGGACUGAGAUACGGCCCAGACUCCUACGGGAGGCAGCAGUGGGGAAUAUUGCACAAUGGGCGCAAGCCUGAUGCAGCGACGCCGCGUGGGGGAUGACGGCCUUCGGGUUGUAAACUCCUUUCGCUAGGGACGAAGCGUUAUGUGACGGUACCUGGAGAAGAAGCACCGGCUAACUACGUG